UACCACAAACCGCUGGCAUGCUGUGGCCCCCAUGUCCACACCGCGCAGUGAAUUUGGCAUCGCAGUGGUGGACGACCUCCUGUUUGUGAUGGGCGGCCACGAUGGGUUUAGGGUAACUAACAAGGUCGAGUGUUAUGAUGCGGGGACAGGCAGCUGGUAUCGUGCGCAGGACAUGAGCAGAGCCAGAAAACACUUCAGCUGCUGCGUAGUGCCUGCGCACCCCCGCAUCAUAAAAUACGCUUCACCUCGUUAGUCCCUGAUGGCCACCAAGGAGGAGAGAAACCCAUCUGCCCACAACAGCAUGCCCAACUCUGCUUCCUCAUUGGAAGGUGUGUUGGUGGGAUCGAGGUCUUUGAAGUCAAGGCUGUCCGGAAGUCAUUUUCCAUGGCCUCGCUAAACUCCUCCCACACCUGAGUUUUUGCCUCGACGACCGCCGAAGCCGCAUUCCAUCAUUUCAUCACCGCUGUCCACCAGCGGGUUCGGGGAAUGCCGCCACAACAGGCACCGACCACCUUACGGCCACAGCUCCAGUCAGCCGCCUCCACAACGGAGGCAUGGAACAAGGCCCAUUCGGACUCAAUGUCCCCUGCGUCCUCCAGGACAUGGGAGAAGCUCUGCUGGAGGUCGGAGUUGAAUCUUCUCCUGACAUUGCAUACUUAAAAUAAAGUUCUCUUUUUUAUAUUA